AUGAAACACUCCACUUUCGGUUAUCCAAUUGCUUCUUUUUUUUCCCCUUCUUUCCCUGUCUAUUUUAUCUUCAAAAGAUAUUUUCGAAUGGAAAGAAGGAUUAAAAUUUUUGCCAAAUUUGGGACCAGGAAGAAAUUUCCACCGCAUUCCCAUGACUUGGAUUGUGGUGGAUCCUUUCACUUCCUCUGA
rnacentral:lncRNA from 1 species